rnacentral:rRNA from 1 species
AUUGAACGCUGGCGGCAUGCUUUACACAUGCAAGUCGAACGGUAACAGGUUAAGCUGACGAGUGGCGAACGGGUGAGUAAUGCAUCGGAACGUGCCCGAUCGUGGGGGAUAACGCAGCGAAAGCUGCGCUAAUACCGCAUACGAUCUGAGGAUGGAAGCGGGGGACCGUAAGGCCUCGCGCGAUCGGAGCGGCCGAUGUCAGAUUAGGUAGUUGGUGGGGCAAAGGCUCACCAAGCCAACGAUCUGUAGCUGGUCUGAGAGGACGACCAGCCACACUGGGACUGAGACACGGCCCAGAGUCCUACGGGAGGCAGCAGUGGGGAAUUUUGGACAAUGGGCGAAAGCCUGAUCCAGCAAUGCCGCGUGCAGGAAGAAGGCCUUCGGGUUGUAAACUGCUUUUGUACGGAGCGAAAAGGUCUCCUCUAAUACAGGGGGCUCAUGACGGUACCGUAAGAAUAAGCACCGGCUAACUACGUGCCAGCCGCCGCCGUAA